AGAGUUUGAUCCUGGCUCAGGAUGAACGCCGGCGGUGUGCCUAAUACAUGCAAGUCGAACGCGUUGGCCCAAUUGAUUGAUGGUGCUUGCACCUGAUUGAUUUUGGUCGCCAACGAGUGGCGGACGGGUGAGUAACACGUAGGUAACCUGCCCAGAAGCGGGGGACAACAUUUGGAAACAGAUGCUAAUACCGCAUAACAACGUUGUUCGCAUGAACAACGCUUAAAAGAUGGCUUCUCGCUAUCACUUCUGGAUGGACCUGCGGUGCAUUAGCUUGUUGGUGGGGUAACGGCCUACCAAGGCGAUGAUGCAUAGCCGAGUUGAGAGACUGAUCGGCCACAAUGGAACUGAGACACGGUCCAUACUCCUACGGGAGGCAGCAGUAGGGAAUCUUCCACAAUGGGCGCAAGCCUGAUGGAGCAACACCGCGUGAGUGAAGAAGGGUUUCGGCUCGUAAAGCUCUGUUGUUGGAGAAGAACGUGCGUGAGAGUAACUGUUCACGCAGUGACGGUAUCCAACCAGAAAGUCACGGCUAACUACGUGCCAGCAGCCGCGGUAAUACGUAGGUGGCAAGCGUUAUCCGGAUUUAUUGGGCGUAAAGCGAGCGCAGGCGGUUGCUUAGGUCUGAUGUGAAAGCCUUCGGCUUAACCGAAGAAGGGCAUCGGAAACCGGGCGACUUGAGUGCAGAAGAGGACAGUGGAACUCCAUGUGUAGCGGUGGAAUGCGUAGAUAUAUGGAAGAACACCAGUGGCGAAGGCGGCUGUCUGGUCUGCAACUGACGCUGAGGCUCGAAAGCAUGGGUAGCGAACAGGAUUAGAUACCCUGGUAGUCCAUGCCGUAAACGAUGAGUGCUAGGUGUUGGAGGGUUUCCGCCCUUCAGUGCCGCAGCUAACGCAUUAAGCACUCCGCCUGGGGAGUACGACCGCAAGGUUGAAACUCAAAGGAAUUGACGGGGGCCCGCACAAGCGGUGGA
rnacentral:rRNA from 1 species